rnacentral:lncRNA from 1 species
CUUUCUGUCUGCUAGUUGUUCCAGUUUGAACCCUAGCUCAAUUAAACUCUUUUGGCUCUAGAACCUUCUGCAUCACUUCCCACUCGAAGAUUUGCUCACUCCUGGAACAGAAUUUUCUUUGGACGGCUGUCCUGGCAAUGGUGACUUAUUCCCCUACUCCACCCACCACUGGUCUUUGUCGCAAGCCUGAGAAAAUGUAGCUGUGCACCUGGGAGUCUGCAGCCAGGACCAGGCACAGGCAGACCAAUGUGGGAGACAGAUAAGGACACGUUGCAGAGUGGUGUGAGAACUGCCAUAAGGAAGCACCCAAGGCUGUGUGAUGUGGGCACAGAGGCAAGUGUUCUACAUGUAGAAGCCACGUGUAUGUUUGAAAAGAAAAAUCCUGGGACUUACCCACCAAGUUUGCUAGGACUGUGAACAAGGAGUUGAAUGGUGUUAGUGAACUCGGUGAGGAAGCCAGAAGCUGCUUCCAGCUGCUCGUCACCAAGCACAGUUGCUUGAAGUAGGUUCUUAAUACCUAUCUAAUAGGCACUUAACAAUGCUUACUGAAUGAAAUUUUGUUGAGUGAAUAAAUUAGUUUUUGAUAUGGAAAAAUAUAUCUCU